rnacentral:rRNA from 1 species
AUACGGAGGGUGCAAGCGUUAAUCGGAAUUACUGGGCGUAAAGCGCGCGGAGGCGGAUUGUUAAGUCUCAUGUGAAAGCCCUGGGCUCAACCUGGGAACUGCAUGGGAUACUGGCAAUCUAGAAUACAGUAGAGGGUAGUGGAAUUUCAGGUGUAGCGGUGAAAUGCGUAGAGAUCUGAAGGAACAUCAGUGGCGAAGGCGACUACCUGGACUGAUAUUGACGCUGAGGUGCGAAAGCGUGGGGAGCAAACGGGAUUAGAAACCCUAGUAGUCC